CUGGCCCUGAAUCAAGGCCGGCAGCUUCCUGACCCUGUUGGUUUCAAGCAAGGAGCCUAAAGAGAUGUCUUUCUAUAGUCUGUUGGCCGUUUCAGAAUUUGGGCAGUGAAAUGGUCAAUUCAUUAGAAAGAAACAGCU
ensembl:snoRNA